rnacentral:rRNA from 1 species
AGUGAACGCUGGCGGUAGGCCUAACACAUGCAAGUCGAACGGCAGCACAUUAAGAGCUUGCUCUUACGGGUGGCGAGUGGCGGACGGGUGAGGAAUACAUCGGAAUCUACUCUUUCGUGGGUUAUUACUUAGGGAAACUUACGCUAAUACCGCAUACGACCUACGGGUGAAAGCAGGGGAUCUUCGUACCUUGCGCGAUUGGAUGAUCCGAUGUCGGAUUAGCUAGUUGGCGGGGUAAAGGCCCACCAAGGCGACGCUCCGUAGCUGGUCUGCGAGAAUGAUCGGCGAGGCUGGGACAGAGACACGGUCCAGACUCCGACGGGAGGCAGCAGUGGGGAAUAUUGGACAAUGGGCGCAAGCCUGAUCCAGCCAUACCGCGUGGGUGAAGAAGGCAUUGGGGUUGUAAAGCCCAUUUGUUGGGAAAGAAAAGCAGCAGGUUAAUACCCCGCUGUUCUGACGGUACCCAAAGAAUAAGCACCGGCUAACUUCGUG